UACGUAGGUGGCAAGCGUUGUCCGGAAUUAUUGGGCGUAAAGCGCGCGCAGGCGGUCCUUUAAGUCUGAUGUGAAAGCCCACGGCUCAACCGUGGAGGGUCAUUGGAAACUGGGGGGACUUGAGUGCAGGAGAGAAGAGUGGAAUUCCACGUGUAGCGGUGAAAUGCGUAGAGAUCCGGAGGAACACCAGUGGCGAAGGCGACACGCUGGGCCGUACCUGACACUGAGGCGCGAUAGCAUGGGGAGCAAACAGG
rnacentral:rRNA from 1 species